rnacentral:rRNA from 1 species
GCGCAGCAGGCGAGAAUAGUCUACAAUGGACGAAAGUCUGAUAGUGCGACGCCGUGUGUGCGAUUAAUUCCUUCGGGAUGUAAAGCACUUUUCUAUGAGAUAAAAGCUCUUUAGGUUAAUAGCUUAUUGAGACGGAUAUUAUUAUAGGAAUAAGCUCCGGCUAACUCCGUGCCAGCAGCCGCGGUAAUACGGAAGGAGCGAGCGUUGUCCGGAUUUACUAGGCGUAAAGGGCUAGUAGGCGACUAAUUAAGUUAUAUGUUAAAUCCCACGGCUCAACUGUGGUCCUGCAUGUAAUACUGGUUAGAUAGAGUACUGUAGAGGAAGGCAGAAUUCCUGGAGUAGCGGUGGAAUGCGCAGAUAUCAGGAAGAAUACCAAAAGCGAAGGCAGCCUUCUGGGCAGUUACUGACGCUGAAUAGCGAAGGUGUGGGUAGCGAACAGGGAUUAGAUACCCGCGUAGU